AACGAACGCUGGCGGCAUGCCUAACACAUGCAAGUCGAACGAGACCUUCGGGUCUAGUGGCGCACGGGUGCGUAACGCGUGGGAACCUGCCCUUAGGUUCGGAAUAACUCCCCGAAAGGGGUGCUAAUACCAGAUAAUGUCUUCGGACCAAAGAUUUAUCGCCUUUAGAUGGGCCCGCGUUGGAUUAGCUAGUUGGUAGGGUAAAAGCCUACCAAGGCGACGAUCCAUAGCUGGUCUGAGAGGAUGAUCAGCCACACUGGGACUGAGACACGGCCCAGACUCCUACGGGAGGCAGCAGUGGGGAAUAUUGGACAAUGGGCGAAAGCCUGAUCCAGCAAUGCCGCGUGAGUGAUGAAGGCCUUAGGGUUGUAAAGCUCUUUUACCCGGGAUGAUAAUGACAGUACCGGGAGAAUAAGCUCCGGCUAACUCCGUG
rnacentral:rRNA from 1 species